rnacentral:rRNA from 1 species
GACGAACGCUGGCGGCGUGCUUAACACAUGCAAGUCGAACGGAAAGGCCCUGCUUUUGUGGGGUGCUCGAUUGGCGAACGGGUGAGUAACACGUGAGUAACCUGCCCUUGACUUUGGGAUAACUUCAGGAAACUGGGGCUAAUACCGGAUAGGAGCUCCUGCUGCAUGGUGGGGGUUGGAAAGUUUCGGCGGUUGGGGAUGGACUCGCGGCUUAUCAGCUUGUUGGUGGGGUAGUGGCUUACCAAGGCUUUGACGGGUAGCCGGCCUGAGAGGGUGAACGGCCACAUUGGGACUGAGAUACGGCCCAGAAUCCUACGGGAGGCAGCAGUGGGGAAUAUUGCACAAUGGGCGGAAGCCUGAUGCAGCAACGCCGCGUGCGGGAUGACGGCCUUCGGGUUGUAAACCGAUUUCGCCUGUGACGAAGCGUGAGUGACGGUAAUGGGUAAAGAAGCAACGGCUAACUACGUG